CUUAUGGCAAACACAACCCAGCCGAUGUAAUUUUGUAAGGAGAAGGCGCGUCCCCAAACAUGCUGCCAAGUGUGGAGGUUUUGACUCUCUGCAACAGGCUUCGUGGAACCUCAUGUACAGGGACGGGCGUGGAGAAGCCACUCUUCACCAAUGAGCGAAGGAACCGCCCGAGGGGAGGGAGUAGGAGCCGCCUGGAGCUGAGUAUGUGUUCCAGGUCAAUUAUAGUUUCCCUCUGAAGGAUGGGGUAAUUUUGUAUUUUUUUCUUUGUUAUAUCUUCUAAAUUUUGUUUUUCCUUCCUUCCUGUCCUUUUUCACUUCUCC